UGUGGUUAAAAAGCUCGUAGUUGGAUCUCGGCGGACUGAGGGCGGUUUGCUUGCUAGUAUUACUGCCCUAUAGUCCGUAGUUUUGCCAGAGGUUUCGGGGUGCUCUUAAUCGAGUGUCCCGGGAUGCUGGCAGGUUUACUUUGAAAAAAUUAGAGUGCUCAAGGCAGGCUAUUACGCCUGAAUAUUCGUGCAUGGAAUAAUAGAAUAGGAAGUCGUUUCUAUUUUGUUGGUUUUCGGAAAUCGACUUAAUGAUUAAUAGGGACAGUCGGGGGCAUUUGUAUCCAAACGACAGAGGUGAAAUUCUUGGACCGUUUGAAGACAAACUACUGCGAAAGCAUUUGCCAAGAAUGUUUUCAUUAAUCAAGAACGAAAGUUAAAGGUUCGAAGGCGAUUAGAUACCGCCCUAGUUUUAACCAUAAACGAUGCCAGCUAGCGAUCUGCGGACGUUUUUUUUGUAGACUCCGCAGGAAGCUUCCGGGAAACCAAAGCAUUUGGGUUCCAGGGGAAGUAUGGUUGCAAAGCUGAAACUUAAAGGAAUUGACGGAAGGGCACCACCAGGAGUGGAGCCUGUGGGCUUAAUUUGACUCAACACGGGGAAAUCUCACCAGGCCCGGACACUGGAAGGAUUGACAGAUUGAUAGCUCUUUC
rnacentral:rRNA from 1 species